rnacentral:rRNA from 1 species
UACGUAGGGUGCGAGCGUUAAUCGGAAUUACUGGGCGUAAAGCGUGCGCAGGCGGUUGUGCAAGACAGAUGUGAAAUCCCCGGGCUUAACCUGGGAACUGCAUUUGUGACUGCACGGCUAGAGUGUGUCAGAGGGGGGUAGAAUUCCACGUGUAGCAGUGAAAUGCGUAGAUAUGUGGAGGAAUACCGAUGGCGAAGGCAGCCCCCCUGGGAUAACACUGACGCUCAUGGCACGAAAGCGUGGGGAGCAAACAGG